UUAUAAGCAGUAAGCUAUGUAACUAUAUCUGUACAAGCGCUUGAUUUAUUAUGUUUUUCUAAACUGGACCAGGAAACACGCAUUAUUGCUUACAUGCUGUACUCACGAGUCACUACUCGUAGAAUACGUAAUACAAGUACUCAAACCAACGUGCCACAGUGAAUUAUUUUUUACGUAUUGGGAUGUUUCUUAUUAAGCGUUAGAUUAUUGACGGUUGCACUAUAAUUUAUUGAUUUGAAUCUGGGCGUCUUACAAAUGUCUACAGAACUAUAUUCUUGGAUAUAUUUGCACCUGUGUCCCUGGCAAUUGCUGUUGUUUAUUGGUUUUCCGAACUCAUAUAUCUGUAUUGCCGCCGGAAGUAGUAGUCCCAACGACGUCUCUGCAGUAAUAAAAACCGAUGACAUAAACAAUGAAGAAGUGAAAGUUAAGGAUACCCAUGCAACGCUAAUAACCGCUCUGAUCUGUGCCUUCGUGUUAAGCGUGGUGUGUGCCAUUUUGAUUUAUCUGCUAUUCUACCGCUGGAAAUGGGAUUCGUCCCCAGAGAUUGAUAUCGAUAACCUGGAUGACGACGAUGAUGAGCUGCCUUGAUCCGCAUCACCGCUUUAUCCUACAUGUUCUUCACAGUGAAGCAUAUAAAUGCUUCAGAAUAUUAGCACUCAGCAGUAUCGAUUCCAGCUUUCAUUGUGAAAUACCUGCUGGAUGCUGCUGCAUGUCGCAGUUGCUUUGGAAGUUCGACACCUUCGAUCAGCGCGCGUCUACUGGCAGCCGACCGGAAGUAAAGUAUUAUGUACCGUGUGAACUGUGCCGAUUUAGAACACUGGUUCUGUAGUCGUUCGCUGUGGAAUGCAAAUUAUGUCGCAGUUACGGCUUUGGGAAAUUUAGGAAAGCCGAAAUUUUAUCCAUUUUAUUAUUUUAUACCAGAGACGAGACCACUGUAAACUUGUAAAGGCAGUAUUAGACUGUUAGACAGGUGAACUUUGAAUGGGAAAAAGUACUGUAUUCGAAUAUGAGAUC